AUUGAACGCUGGCGGCAGGCCUAACACAUGCAAGUCGAACGGUAACAGGAAGCAGCUUGCUGCUUUGCUGACGAGUGGCGGACGGGUGAGUAAUGUCUGGGAAACUGCCCGAUGGAGGGGGAUAACUACUGGAAACGGUAGCUAAUACCGCAUAACGUCGCAAGACCAAAGAGGGGGGCCUUCGGGCCUCUUGCCAUCGGAUGUGCCCAGAUGGGAUUAGCUUGUUGGUGAGGUAACGGCUCACCAAGGCGACGAUCCCUAGCUGGUCUGAGAGGAUGACCAGCCACACUGGAACUGAGACACGGUCCAGACUCCUACGGGAGGCAGCAGUGGGGAAUAUUGCACAAUGGGCGCAAGCCUGAUGCAGCCAUGCCGCGUGUAUGAAGAAGGCCUUCGGGUUGUAAAGUACUUUCAGCGGGGAGGAAGGGGAUGUGGUUAAUAACCGCAUUCAUUGACGUUACCCGCAGAAGAAGCACCGGCUAACUCCGUGCCAGCCGCCGCAGUAAGAC
rnacentral:rRNA from 1 species